GACGAACGCUGGCGGCGUGCUUAACACAUGCAAGUCGAGCGGAAAGGCCCUUUUGGGGGUAAUCGAGCGGCGAACGGGUGAGUAACACGUGAGUAAUCUGCCCUUCACUUUGGGAUACCGCUCGGAAACGGGUGCUAAUACCGGAUACGACGCACUUCGGCAUCUGAUGUGUGUGGAAACUUUUUGGGUGGGGGAGUUGCUCGCGGCGUAUCAGCUUGUUGGUGGGGUAAUGGCCUACCAAGGCUUUGACGGGUAGCCGGCCUGAGAGGGUGGACGGCCACACUGGGACUGAGACACGGCCCAGACUCCUACGGGAGGCAGCAGUGGGGAAUAUUGGACAAUGGGCGGAAGCCUGAUCCAGCAACGCCGCGUGAGGGAUGACGGCCUUCGGGUUGUAAACCUCUUUCAGCACCGACGAAGCGCAAGUGACGGUAGGUGCAGAAGAAGGACCGGCCAACUACGUGCCAGCCGCCGCGGUAAUAC
rnacentral:rRNA from 1 species